rnacentral:tRNA from 1 species
UUGGCCGAAACCAAAGGAGGAGGUAUGCUACUGUUAAUAGUAAAAAUGAAACUUAGUUUUCCGGCUAAA